AUUGAACGCUGGCGGCAUGCCUUACACAUGCCAGUCGAACGGCAGCGCGGGAGCAAUCCUGGCGGCGAGUGGCGAACGGGUGAGUAAUACAUCGGAACGUGCCCAAUCGUGGGGGAUAACGCAGCGAAAGCUGUGCUAAUACCGCAUACGAUCUACGGAUGAAAGCAGGGGAUCGCAAGACCUUGCGCGAAUGGAGCGGCCGAUGGCAGAUUAGGUAGUUGGUGAGGUAAAGGCUCACCAAGCCUUCGAUCUGUAGCUGGUCUGAGAGGACGACCUGCCACACUGGGACUGAGACACGGCCCAGACUCCUACGGGAGGCAGCAGUGGGGAAUUUUGGACAAUGGGCGAAAGCCUGAUCCAGCCAUGCCGCGUGCAGGAUGAAGGCCUUCGGGUUGUAAACUGCUUUUGUACGGAACGAAACGGUCUUUUCUAAUAAAGAAGGCUAAUGACGGUACCGUAAGAAUAAGCACCGGCUAACUACGUG
rnacentral:rRNA from 1 species